rnacentral:tRNA from 1 species
AAUGGAGUGCCUGAUUAAAAGGAUUAUUUUGAUAGAAUAAGUUAUGUGAACCCACCCACCUCCAUUA